rnacentral:rRNA from 1 species
UACGUAGGUCCCGAGCGUUGUCCGGAUUUAUUGGGCGUAAAGCGAGCGCAGGUGGUUUAUUAAGUCUGGUGUAAAAGGCAGUGGCUCAACCAUUGUAUGCAUUGGAAACUCGUAGACUUGAGUGCAGGAGAGGAGAGUGGAAUUCCAUGUGUAGCGGUGAAAUGCGUAGAUAUAUGGAGGAACACCGGUGGCGAAAGCGGCUCUCUGGCCUGUAACUGACACUGAGGCUUGAAAGCGUGGGGAGCAAACAGG